rnacentral:lncRNA from 1 species
AUGCAGCGUUACCAUCCAGGAGCUCGAGGCCGAGGUCGACUCUGGCACCCUGUUGACAAGUCUAGAAAUUCAGCAGUAGAAAGAAACCAGGAUCAUCCACGGAUGCAGCGUUACCAUCCAGGAGCUCGAAGCCGAGGUCAACUCUGGCACCCUGAUGACAAGUCUGGAGAUUCAGCAGUAGAAAGAAAGCAGGAUCAUCCAGGGAUGCAGCGUUACCAUCCAGGAGCUCGAAGCCAAGGUCGACUCUGGCAUCCUGAUGACAUAACCAAGUCUGGAGAUUCAGCAGUAGAAAGAAAGCAGGAUCAUCCAGGGACGCAGCUUUACCAUCCAGGAGCUCGAAGCCGAGGUCGAUUCUGGUGCCCUGAUGGCAGCACCAAUCUGGAGAUUCAGCAGUAGAAAGAAAGCAAGCAG